CUUCAGGUCCUUCUCCUUCAAAACAACUAUACCCGUCGCUCGCUCCCGUUCCCCUCUCUCGUCGACGGUGGCGGCUGCCCAGAUCGGCAGAUCUGUUGCUUCCCUGGUCGACGACGGCUACUCCCACGCCACCUGUUCCCUGCCUCCUCCCUUCUUACUCCGGUAUCCAAGUCGCUUGGAUCCGUCCCUAGGGCAGCCCAACAUCGCGCUGCGCAUUGUCGUCAGGGAUCUGGUCACCGCCGCCAUGGCCUCCUCCUCCCUGGUGGCCGCGGGCGCCCUGGACGGUCAACUCACAUUCCUAUAUCUGUAGGGCAAGCUAGUAGAGGUCAAGUGCAUGGUGAUGUUGCCAUAGCCCCCUCCUCCCUGGUGGUCCUAGAUCCAGCAAUAGCUCACCGGAGGCCAGCCGGCGGUGCUCGAUCUCGCCUCAUUCGCCUCGCAGGCUCGACAGCAAGUACAUGAAGAUUGAUGAGCAAAAUGCACUAUAACUGGAGGCGAAAGGGAAUAACUUUUCUUUUAUGUGCAAUCAGAUAACAAACCCGAUGCAAGCUUUGGUAGCAAUGCUUAUUCAGCGGGGAUCACUUCAGUCCAUACUCAGGGCUCGCUGUUCAUGUACUAGAAAAUGAUCAUCUCAUGUUAUGUACAAGUUAUAUAUGUAUGUCUCUUGUGUACUCAAAUUUGGAUGGAUGUCAUACACUCAAAUAUUUCUGGCUAGGAUGAUCCACUUGGACAUGUAUUCAAAAAUUUGUGCUUCACA